rnacentral:rRNA from 1 species
AUGGUGGCAGCCUCGCCUCCCUCCUUCCAUCUCGCCCUCCUCCUCUUCGCAGCCCACGCGGCCGUCGGCAGCGCCGCGGGGGCGGUCGGGGUGAGCGGCGGCGGGCAGCUGUGGUGCGUGGCGAAGAACAACGCCGAGGACGGCGCGCUGCAGUCGGCCAUCGACUGGGCCUGCGGCCCCAACGGCGGCGCCGACUGCCGCGCCAUCCAGCAGGGCGGCGCCUGCUACGAGCCGCCCGACCUCCUGGCGCACGCCUCCUACGCCUUCAACGACUACUUCCUCCGAUCCGGCGGCGCCGCCAGCCCCGCCGCCUGCGACUUCUCCGGCGCCGCCGCGCUCAUCGGCCUCAACCCUAGUCGUGGGAACUGCGUGUUUCCUUCCAGUUCAUCCCCCAGAAAUGGCAGCUUCACAGGAAUAACAACCUAUGGCCGAACCGGUGCAGAUUUAAGCCAAAGUUCUUCAUGGCGACUCAACACCCGGUCAUUUAUUUUGUGCAUGUCUCUGUCUGUAACAUUUCUUGUUGCCUCGCGUUUCUGA